rnacentral:rRNA from 1 species
GCUCUGGCUGAGCGGUCCGCCAAUUGGUUGGUACUGCUUCGGCUGGGGUUCACCUUCUGGCGAGCCGUCAUGCACUUUAUUGUGUGUGGCGAGGAACCAGGACUUUUACCUUGAAAAAAUUAGAGUGUUCAAAGCAGGCAUUUGCUCGGAUACAUUAGCAUGGAAUAAUAGAAUAGGACGUCGAUCCUAUUUUGUUGGUUUCUAGGACCGCCGUA